UUAAGCGACUAAGCGUACACGGUGGAUGCCCUGGCAGUCAGAGGCGAUGAAGGACGUGCUAAUCUGCGAAAAGCGCCGGCGAGGUGAUAUGAACCUUUGACCCGGCGAUGUCCGAAUGGGGAAACCCAGUGUGUUUCGACACACUAUCGUUAACUGAAUACAUAGGUUAACGAGGCGAACCGGGGGAACUGAAACAUCUAAGUACCCCGAGGAAAAGAAAUCAACCGAGAUUCCCCCAGUAGCGGCGAGCGAACGGGGAGCAGCCCGGAGUCUGAAUCAGCUUGUGUGUUAGUGGAACGGUCUGGAAAGUCCGACGGUACAGGGUGAUAGUCCCGUACACGAAAAUGCACAGGUUGUGAACUCGAAGAGUAGGGCGGGACACGUGGUAUCCUGUCUGAAUAUGGGGGGACCAUCCUCCAAGGCUAAAUACUCCUGACUGACCGAUAGUGAACCAGUACCGUGAGGGAAAGGCGAAAAGAACCCCGGCGAGGGGAGUGAAAAAGAACCUGAAACCGUGUACGUACAAGCAGUGGGAGCCUCUUUUAUGGGGUGACUGCGUACCUUUUGUAUAAUGGGUCAGCGACUUAUAUUCUGUAGCAAGGUUAACCGUAUAGGGGAGCCGAAGGGAAACCGAGUCUUAACUGGGCGUUAAGUUGCAGGGUAUAGACCCGAAACCCGGUGAUCUAGCCAUGGGCAGGUUGAAGGUUGGGUAACACUAACUGGAGGACCGAACCGACUAAUGUUGAAAAAUUAGCGGAUGACCUGUGGCUGGGGGUGAAAGGCCAAUCAAACCGGGAGAUAGCUGGUUCUCCCCGAAAGCUAUUUAGGUAGCGCCUCGUGAACUCAUCUUCGGGGGUAGAGCACUGUUUCGGCUAGGGGGCCAUCCCGGCUUACCAACCCGAUGCAAACUACGAAUACCGAAGAAUGUUAUCACGGGAGACACACGGCGGGUGCUAACGUCCGUCGUGAAGAGGGAAACAACCCAGACCGCCAGCUAAGGUCCCAAAGUCAUGGUUAAGUGGGAAACGAUGUGGGAAGGCACAGACAGCCAGGAUGUUGGCUUAGAAGCAGCCAUCAUUUAAAGAAAGCGUAAUAGCUCACUGGUCGAGUCGGCCUGCGCGGAAGAUGUAACGGGGCUAAACCAUGCACCGAAGCUGCGGCAGCGACGCUUAUGCGUUGUUGGGUAGGGGAGCGUUCUGUAAGCCGUUGAAGGUGGCCUGUGAGGGUUGCUGGAGGUAUCAGAAGUGCGAAUGCUGACAUAAGUAACGAUAAAGCGGGUGAAAAGCCCGCUCGCCGGAAGACCAAGGGUUCCUGUCCAACGUUAAUCGGGGCAGGGUGAGUCGACCCCUAAGGCGAGGCCGAAAGGCGUAGUCGAUGGGAAACAGGUUAAUAUUCCUGUACUUGGUGUUACUGCGAAGGGGGGACGGAGAAGGCUAUGUUAGCCGGGCGACGGUUGUCCCGGUUUAAGCAUGUAGGCGGAGGUUCCAGGUAAAUCCGGUACCUUUUAACGCUGAGGUGUGAUGACGAGGCACUACGGUGCUGAAGUAACAAAUGCCCUGCUUCCAGGAAAAGCCUCUAAGCAUCAGGUAACACGAAAUCGUACCCCAAACCGACACAGGUGGUCAGGUAGAGAAUACCAAGGCGCUUGAGAGAACUCGGGUGAAGGAACUAGGCAAAAUGGUGCCGUAACUUCGGGAGAAGGCACGCUGAUAUGUAGGUGAAGCCCCUGCGGGUGGAGCUGAAAUCAGUCGAAGAUACCAGCUGGCUGCAACUGUUUAUUAAAAACACAGCACUGUGCAAACACGAAAGUGGACGUAUACGGUGUGACGCCUGCCCGGUGCCGGAAGGUUAAUUGAUGGGGUUAGCGGUAACGCGAAGCUCUUGAUCGAAGCCCCGGUAAACGGCGGCCGUAACUAUAACGGUCCUAAGGUAGCGAAAUUCCUUGUCGGGUAAGUUCCGACCUGCACGAAUGGCGUAAUGAUGGCCAGGCUGUCUCCACCCGAGACUCAGUGAAAUUGAACUCGCUGUGAAGAUGCAGUGUACCCGCGGCAAGACGGAAAGACCCCGUGAACCUUUACUAUAGCUUGACACUGAACACUGGUCCUUGAUGUGUAGGAUAGGUGGGAGGCUUUGAAGCGUGGACGCCAGUCUGCGUGGAGCCGACCUUGAAAUACCACCCUUUAAUGGCUGGUGUUCUAACGUAGACCCGUAAUCCGGGUUGCGGACAGUGUCUGGUGGGUAGUUUGACUGGGGCGGUCUCCUCCCAAAGAGUAACGGAGGAGCACGAAGGUUAGCUAAUCCUGGUCGGACAUCAGGAGGUUAGUGCAAUGGCAUAAGCUAGCUUGACUGCGAGAGUGACGGCUCGAGCAGGUGCGAAAGCAGGUCAUAGUGAUCCGGUGGUUCUGAAUGGAAGGGCCAUCGCUCAACGGAUAAAAGGUACUCCGGGGAUAACAGGCUGAUACCGCCCAAGAGUUCAUAUCGACGGCGGUGUUUGGCACCUCGAUGUCGGCUCAUCACAUCCUGGGGCUGAAGUAGGUCCCAAGGGUAUGGCUGUUCGCCAUUUAAAGUGGUACGCGAGCUGGGUUUAGAACGUCGUGAGACAGUUCGGUCCCUAUCUGCCGUGGGCGCUGGAGAAUUGAGGGGGGCUGCUCCUAGUACGAGAGGACCGGAGUGGACGCAUCACUGGUGUUCGGGUUGUCAUGCCAAUGGCACUGCCCGGUAGCUAAAUGCGGAAGAGAUAAGUGCUGAAAGCAUCUAAGCACGAAACUUGCCCCGAGAUGAGUUCUCCCUGAGACUAUAAGUCUCCUGAAGGAACGUUGAAGACGACGACGUUGAUAGGUCGGGUGUGUAAGCGCAGCGAUGCGUUGAGCUAACCGAUACUAAUGAACCGUGAGGCUUAACCU
rnacentral:rRNA from 1 species